UACAGAGGGGGCAAGCGUUGUUCGGAAUUACUGGGCGUAAAGGGCGCGUAGGCGGCCUUCUAAGUCGAGCGUGAAAUCCCCGGGCUCAACCCGGGAACUGCGUCCGAUACUGGAAGGCUUGAAUCCGGGAGAGGGAUGCGGAAUUCCGAGGUGUAGCGGUGAAAUGCGUAGAUAUCUGGAGGAACACCGGUGGCGAAGGCGGCAUC
rnacentral:rRNA from 1 species